rnacentral:rRNA from 1 species
CUUAAGCAUAUCAAUAAGCGGAGGAAAAGAAACCAACAGGGAUUGCCCUAGUAACGGCGAGUGAAGCGGCAACAGCUCAAAUUUGAAAUCUGGCUCUUUUAGAGUCCGAGUUGUAAUUUGCAGAGGGCGCUUUGGCUUUGGCAGCGGUCCAAGUUCCUUGGAACAGGACGUCACAGAGGGUGAGAAUCCCGUACGUGGUCGCUGGCUAUUGCCGUGUAAAGCCCCUUCGACGAGUCGAGUUGUUUGGGAAUGCAGCUCUAAAUGGGAGGUACAUUUCUUCUAAAGCUAAAUAUUGGCCAGAGACCGAUAGCGCACAAGUAGAGUGAUCGAAAGAUGAAAAGCACUUUGGAAAGAGAGUCAAACAGCACGUGAAAUUGUUGAAAGGGAAGCGCUUGCAGCCAGACUUGCUUACAGUUGCUCAUCCGGGCUUUUGCCCGGUGCACUCUUCUGUAGGCAGGCCAGCAUCAGUUUGGGCGGUAGGAUAAAGGUCUCUGUCACGUACCUCUCUUCGGGGAGGCCUUAUAGGGGAGACGACAUACUACCAGCCUGGACUGAGGUCCGCGCAUCUGCUAGGAUGCUGGCGUAAUGGCUGUAAGCGGCCCGUCUUGAAACACGGACCAAGGAGUCUAACAUCUAUGCGAGUGUUUGGGUGUCAAGCCCGAGCGCGUAAUGAAAGUGAACGGAGGUAGGAACCCGCAAGGGUGCACUAUCGACCGAUCCUGAUGUCUUCGGAAGGAUUUGAGUAAGAGCAUGGCUGUUGGGACCCGAAAGAUGGUGAACUAUGCUUGAAUAGGGUGAAGCCAGAGGAAACUCUGGUGGAGGCUCGCAGCGGUUCUGACGUGCAAAUCGAUCGUCAAAUUUGGGCAUAGGGGCGAAAGACUAAUCGAACUAUCUAGUAGCUGGUUCCUGCCGAGUC